rnacentral:rRNA from 1 species
AGUGAACGCUGGCGGUAGGCCUAACACAUGCAAGUCGAACGGCAGCACAGUAAGCGCUUGCUCUUACGGGUGGCGAGUGGCGGACGGGUGAGGAAUACAUCGGCAUCUACUUUUUCGUGGGGGAUAACGUAGGGAAACUUACGCUAAUACAGCAUACGACCUACGGGUGAAAGCAGGGGAUCUUCGGACCUUGCGCGUUUGAAUGAGCCGAUGUCGGAUUAGCUAGUUGGCGGGGUAAAGGCCCACCAAGGCGACGAUCCGUAGCUGGUCUGAGAGGAUGAUCAGCCACACUGGAACUGAGACACGGUCCAGACUCCUACGGGAGGCAGCAGUGGGGAAUAUUGGACAAUGGGCGCAAGCCUGAUCCAGCCAUGCCGCGUGGGUGAAGAAGGCCUUCGGGUUGUAAAGCCCUUUUGUUGGGAAAGAAAAGCAGCAGGUUAAUACCCCGCUGUUCUGACGGUACCCAAAGAAUAAGCACCGGCUAACUUCGUG